CCUACGGGAGGCAGCAGUGGGGAAUAUUGCACAAUGGGGGAAACCCUGAUGCAGCGACGCCGCGUGAGUGAAGAAGUAUUUCGGUAUGUAAAGCUCUAUCAGCAGGGAAGAAGAAAGACGGUACCUGACUAAGAAUCCCCGGCUAACUACGUGCCAGCAGCCGCGGUAAAACGUAGGGGGCAAGCGUUAUCCGGAUUUACUGGGGGUAAAGGGAGCGUAGGCGGCUGGGCAAGUCUGAAGUGAAAGCCCAGGGCUCAACCCUGGGACUGCUUUGGACACUGUGUAGCUAGAGUGCUGGAGAGGUAGGUGGAAUUCCUGGUGUAGCGGUGAAAUGCGUAGAUAUUAGGAGGAACACACGUGGCGAAGGCGGUUUACUGGACAGUAACUGACGUUGAGGCUCGAAAGCGUGGGGAGCAAACAGGAUUAGAUACCCUAGUAGUC
rnacentral:rRNA from 1 species